rnacentral:lncRNA from 1 species
AAAGUUCUGUGUGUAGUAACCAUGAUUUUGUAUACUGCAAAGGACCGGGGUGGGGGGGGGUUGCUCCGCCUCCUGCUGACCCGCCUCCACGCCCGGCACGGCCCCGCCCUCUCCCUCGCCCUGGCUGCCCUGGGCGCUGCCCGCCAUGGGCUGGGAGAGGGGCAGCUGCUGGCCGUGCUGGGGGCGGAGCAGCGUCUGGGCGGGGCCAAGCCCACGUGGGCGGAGUCACUGCAGGCCGCGACCCCCGACCCCGGCGACGCCCCCGCGCCACUCUGGGAGCUGCUGCGGGACCUGCGCUGGCUGCUGGAGGCAUGUGGGGUCCCACUGGCCCCCCCCGGGGCCCGACUGCACCUUGCCGGGGCCCCCCUGCGCGAGGCCGUGGGGCAGCACCUGGCCCGUGGGGAGCUGCAGGCCCGGGCCCACCAGCUGCUGGCAGCGUGCCUGUGGCGGGCCUGCGACCCCAGCGGGCGCCGGACCUUCAGUGGGGCGGAC